rnacentral:rRNA from 1 species
CCUACGGGAGGCAGCAGUAGGGAAUAUUGCGCAAUGGGCGAAAGCCUGACGCAGCGACGCCGCGUGAAGGAUGAAGUCCUUCGGGAUGUAAACUUCAAUAGUUAGGGAUGAAACUGACAGUACCUAACGAG